ACCUGCCACAGGUGUGCGCUCCGACGCACCCCGGGGCUGAGACAGCAUUCGGUGUCACGGGAAGAACAUGGCACUUCAGGGCGUU
rnacentral:sRNA from 1 species